UCAAAAUUAAUAAAUUAAUUAAUUAUUGCACACGUGGCAACCAAUGGAUGAAACAUCUGGUCACCUAUAUGUGGCUCUAUCAAACCAGCGGCAUGUAUGUUAUAUACACACGCAUUAUGUUUUGCGCACGUACUGACAUACAAAACAAGGGUUCUCUCACGACACUAAGUGUGUAAAUUCCAAUCACCGCUUCGAUUGGAUCCUUAUUUGGCCUAAUGAGUACCUCCGCAAACUCCACCAAGGCCCAUUCCUUGAAUAGGGCUGGGCAAAGAACUGGUGUGCCUUCAUCUUCCAGGCCUGAAACGUAGCUUUUACUAUUAUUUUUGUGCGAGUUAAAUCAAUCUGAGCACAACUCGAGGCAGAUAGAGGGUGUGGUGGAAGUGGGCGGAGGCAGUUUGGAGCUUGUAAGGGAGGACGAGUGAGUUAAACGAGCACGAGUUGGUAAGUGAGUUCUUUUGAUCCGUUUGGGAGUGAUAGAACUUAACAACUCUCAAACAUAUAUUAAUUGAAAGUAGAGAGAAUGUUUAUCUUUAAAGAAGAUAAGACAAGUU
rnacentral:lncRNA from 1 species